GCACUGUGUGCCGCGCCGCGGGAUAGCGGGCCUCGGGUCUGCGCGACUGUCGAGAGCGGCGGGAUCCCCAGGGAUCCCGGAGGCCAGGGGCACACCCUCCCCGAAAACACGUGGGGCUAGCCCAGUCCCAGAGGAACUCUAACGUUUCAAACCUGGAGGCGGGAGGCGGGAGGCCGGUGAGAAGGGGCUACGCCGCCGGGCCCCCCUCCCGCAGCAGCCACGGGCCGGGCCUCACCUGCCGGUUCCCACCCACACCUUUCCCGGUUGUAGUUUCUGCGCUCAGCGAACAAGGUCAGGAAAGACCACAAAUGCAAGCGGCUGUAUUCUCCUAGGCAGCUUGUCUGGGCAACGGAGGUCCCACACCCCAAAGAGGACCCAGCAAAUCUUUAAUGGACUGCGGGGCCUAGGAAACUGGCCCGUCCCUCCUACCCAUACCAGCACCAAGCAGAGCACCUUUGCCUGGAUAAACCGACUUUAAUAUUUAUGAUUGCCAAGAGGCUGAGAGUCCUUUUAUGAGGUCCGGUACCUCCAAACAAGACGUGUUCAUGUAGUCUUCAAACUGGCCUGGAGGGGGCAGCUCCAGCCAGUCGGAGGCGCCCAGGAGGAAGGCCUGGCUCCAGCAGGAGGGCCCACAGUCCAGUCUCUGUUGUCGGCUAAAGCUGGUCUUGCGCCGUCAGCCUCUACCCUGGCCUCCCCAGGCUCUGGGAUGGCUCAGAGGUUGCCGUCAUUGGGUUUCAGCAAAAAUAAAUAUUGUCCAGGUGUCCCUGCCUCCCAUUGCGUCCCCUGUGCUGCUGGAGUGACAUGCUCCUUGGAGAAGUUAGUAACUCUGCAGGUAGGGUGGGUGGUGACAACGCCCACUACACGCGGAAGUUGUACAUUGGAGGCUGGCGAAGUUGGGAGCAGAGGCAUAUCCAUAGGGGAAGCUGGCAGGGGCUGGGCCCACGGCAGGGCCUGCAGAGGGGGAAGCCCACAAUGAGCAG
rnacentral:lncRNA from 1 species